AUUGAACGCUGGCGGCAGGCCUAACACAUGCAAGUCGAGCGGAGCGGCCGACGGGCGGGUAAUGCCUAGGAAUCUACCCGGUCUUGGAGGAUAACGUACCGACACGGACCCUAAUACCGCAUACUAUUAGAUGACCCUAGGUCGGAUUAGCUAGUUGGAUUGGCAAAGGCCUACCAAGGCGACGAUCCGGAACUGGUCUGAGAGGCUGAUCAGUCACACUGGAACUGAGACACGGUCCAGACUCCUACGGGAGGCAGCAGUAGGGAAUCUUGGGCAAUGGGCGAAAGCCUGAUCCAGCCAUGCCGCGUGUGUGAAGAAGGUCUUCGGAUUGUAAAGCACUUUAAGUAGGGAAGCGUUACCAACAGAGAAAGCACCGGCUAACUUCGUGCCAGCAGCCGCGGUAAUUC
rnacentral:rRNA from 1 species